UUAAUUAUUUACAAUAAUAAUAAUAAUAAUUAUAAUGUACACGACUAUAAUGGCGUGUUGAAUUAAAUGAUCUGAUGGAAUAAUAUAAUAAUGUUAAUAAUAAAUAUGUCAUGACAAAAUAUCGAUUUAUAGUUUGGAAACCACCUAUGCUAAUUGGUCAUUUGUGUAAAUGUUUGUAAGGACGUUAGGAUAGAGUUAAUCAUUAAUAUAGGAUGCGAUUUUCGCAAAGGACAAGGUAAG